rnacentral:rRNA from 1 species
GGUUAAGCGACUAAGCGUACACGGUGGAUGCCCUGGCAGUCAGAGGCGAUGAAGGACGUGCUAAUCUGCGAAAAGCGUCGGUAAGGUGAUAUGAACCGUUACAGCCGGCGAUGUCCGAAUGGGGAAACCCAGUGCAAUUCGUUGCACUAUCGUUAACUGAAUACAUAGGUUAACGAGGCGAACCGGGGGAACUGAAACAUCUAAGUACCCCGAGGAAAAGAAAUCAACCGAGAUUCCCCCAGUAGCGGCGAGCGAACGGGGAGCAGCCCAGAGUCUGAAUCAGCUUGUGUGUUAGUGGAACGGUCUGGAAAGUCCGACGGUACAGGGUGAUAGUCCCGUACACCAAAAUGCACAGGCUGUGAACUCGAAGAGUAGGGCGGGACACGUGGUAUCCUGUCUGAAUAUGGGGGGACCAUCCUCCAAGGCUAAAUACUCCUGACUGACCGAUAGUGAACCAGUACCGUGAGGGAAAGGCGAAAAGAACCCCGGCGAGGGGAGUGAAAAAGAACCUGAAACCGUGUACGUACAAGCAGUGGGAGCACCUUCGGGUGUGACUGCGUACCUUUUGUAUAAUGGGUCAGCGACUUAUAUUCUGUAGCAAGGUUAACCGUAUAGGGGAGCCGCAGGGAAACCGAGUCUUAACUGGGCGUUAAGUUGCAGGGUAUAGACCCGAAACCCGGUGAUCUAGCCAUGGGCAGGUUGAAGGUUGGGUAACACUAACUGGAGGACCGAACCGACUAAUGUUGAAAAAUUAGCGGAUGACUUGUGGCUGGGGGUGAAAGGCCAAUCAAACCGGGAGAUAGCUGGUUCUCCCCGAAAGCUAUUUAGGUAGCGCCUCGUGAACUCAUCUUCGGGGGUAGAGCACUGUUUCGGCUAGGGGGUCAUCCCGACUUACCAACCCGAUGCAAACUACGAAUACCGAAGAAUGUUAUCACGGGAGACACACGGCGGGUGCUAACGUCCGUCGUGAAGAGGGAAACAACCCAGACCGCCAGCUAAGGUCCCAAAGUCAUGGUUAAGUGGGAAACGAUGUGGGAAGGCACAGACAGCCAGGAUGUUGGCUUAGAAGCAGCCAUCAUUUAAAGAAAGCGUAAUAGCUCACUGGUCGAGUCGGCCUGCGCGGAAGAUGUAACGGGGCUAAACCAUGCACCGAAGCUGCGGCAGCGACACUAUGUGUUGUUGGGUAGGGGAGCGUUCUGUAAGCCUGCGAAGGUGUGCUGUGAGGCAUGCUGGAGGUAUCAGAAGUGCGAAUGCUGACAUAAGUAACGAUAAAGCGGGUGAAAAGCCCGCUCGCCGGAAGACCAAGGGUUCCUGUCCAACGUUAAUCGGGGCAGGGUGAGUCGACCCCUAAGGCGAGGCCGAAAGGCGUAGUCGAUGGGAAACAGGUUAAUAUUCCUGUACUUGGUGUUACUGCGAAGGGGGGACGGAGAAGGCUAUGUUAGCCGGGCGACGGUUGUCCCGGUUUAAGCAUGUAGGCUGGUUAUCCAGGCAAAUCCGGAUAAUCAAGGCUGAGGUGUGAUGACGAGGCACUACGGUGCUGAAGUAACAAAUGCCCUGCUUCCAGGAAAAGCCUCUAAGCAUCAGGUAACAUUAAAUCGUACCCCAAACCGACACAGGUGGUCAGGUAGAGAAUACCAAGGCGCUUGAGAGAACUCGGGUGAAGGAACUAGGCAAAAUGGUGCCGUAACUUCGGGAGAAGGCACGCUGGUGUGUAGGUGAAGUCCCUGCGGAUGGAGCUGAGACCAGUCGAAGAUACCAGCUGGCUGCAACUGUUUAUUAAAAACACAGCACUGUGCAAACACGAAAGUGGACGUAUACGGUGUGACGCCUGCCCGGUGCCGGAAGGUUAAUUGAUGGGGUUAUCCGUAAGGAGAAGCUCUUGAUCGAAGCCCCGGUAAACGGCGGCCGUAACUAUAACGGUCCUAAGGUAGCGAAAUUCCUUGUCGGGUAAGUUCCGACCUGCACGAAUGGCGUAAUGAUGGCCAGGCUGUCUCCACCCGAGACUCAGUGAAAUUGAACUCGCUGUGAAGAUGCAGUGUACCCGCGGCAAGACGGAAAGACCCCGUGAACCUUUACUAUAGCUUGACACUGAACAUUGAGCCUUGAUGUGUAGGAUAGGUGGGAGGCUUUGAAGCGUGGACGCCAGUCUGCGUGGAGCCAACCUUGAAAUACCACCCUUUAAUGUUUGAUGUUCUAACGUUGGCCCCUGACCGGGGUUGCGGACAGUGUCUGGUGGGUAGUUUGACUGGGGCGGUCUCCUCCCAAAGCGUAACGGAGGAGCACGAAGGUUAGCUAAUCCUGGUCGGACAUCAGGAGGUUAGUGCAAUGGCAUAAGCUAGCUUGACUGCGAGCGUGACGGCGCGAGCAGGUGCGAAAGCAGGUCAUAGUGAUCCGGUGGUUCUGAAUGGAAGGGCCAUCGCUCAACGGAUAAAAGGUACUCCGGGGAUAACAGGCUGAUACCGCCCAAGAGUUCAUAUCGACGGCGGUGUUUGGCACCUCGAUGUCGGCUCAUCACAUCCUGGGGCUGAAGUAGGUCCCAAGGGUAUGGCUGUUCGCCAUUUAAAGUGGUACGCGAGCUGGGUUUAGAACGUCGUGAGACAGUUCGGUCCCUAUCUGCCGUGGGCGCUGGAGAAUUGAGGGGGGCUGCUCCUAGUACGAGAGGACCGGAGUGGACGCAUCACUGGUGUUCGGGUUGUCAUGCCAAUGGCACUGCCCGGUAGCUAAAUGCGGAAGAGAUAAGUGCUGAAAGCAUCUAAGCACGAAACUUGCCCCGAGAUGAGUUCUCCCUGAGACUUUAAGUCUCCUGAAGGAACGUUGAAGACGACGACGUUGAUAGGCCGGGUGUGUAAGCGCAGCGAUGCGUUGAGCUAACCGGUACUAAUGAACCGUGAGGCUUAACCUU